GUGGGGAAUAUUGGGCAAUGGGCGAAAGCCUGACCCAGCAACGCCGCGUGAAGGAAGAAGGUCUUCGGAUCGUAAACUUCUAUCCUUGGUGAAGAUAAUGACGGUAGCCGAGAAGGAAGCCCCGGCUAACUACGUGCCAGCAGUCGCGGUAAUACGUAGGGGGCAAGCGUUGUCCGGAAUGAUUGGGCGUAAAGGGCGCGUAGGCGGCCUGGUAAGUCUGGAGUGAAAGUCCUGCUUUUAAGGUGGGAAUUGCUUUGGAUACUGUCGGGCUUGAGUGCAGGAGAGGUAAGUGGAAUUCCCGGUGUAGCGGUGAAAUGCGUAGAGAUCGGGAGGAACACCAGUGGCGAAGGCGACUUACUGGACUGUAACUGACGCUGAGGCGCGAAAGUGUGGGGAGCAAACAGGAUUAGAUACCACGGUAGUCC
rnacentral:rRNA from 1 species